rnacentral:ncRNA from 1 species
GACUUGAAAGAUAGUGAAAUAUGCCUGGGCAGGGGGGAAUCUGGAGGACACUAUGAUGGUGGUCUAGUGGUGGCAUGCAAAUUGGCCAUCUGACCCAAGUCUAGGGACAAAAGUCUAAUUGAACCAUGUAAUAGUUGG